rnacentral:rRNA from 1 species
GGACUACAGGGGUUUCUAAUCCUGUUCGUUCUCUGUGCCUUCGUCCUUCAACGUCAGUUUUUACAUAAAAGACUGCCUUCGCCUUUACCUGUCCCUUUGAUAUCAAAGAAUUUCAUCUCUACACCUCAAGUACUGUCUUCUUAUAUAAAACUCUAGUCAAGUAUUGCUUAUUUAAAUAUUAGAUAUUUUGACCGUCUGAGUACCCUUUAAACCUAAUUAAGAUGAAUAACACUUGUCUCAUAUGUAUUACCGCGGCUGCUGGCAC